rnacentral:tRNA from 1 species
CAGGAUGUGGCUAAGCAGGAAAGCAUCUCCCUUACACUGAGAAGUCGCCCGUGCAAAUCGGGUCAUCCUGA